rnacentral:rRNA from 1 species
GACAGAGGAUGCAAGCGUUAUCCGGAAUGAUUGGGCGUAAAGCGUCUGUAGGUGGCUUUUUAAGUCCGCCGUCAAAUCCCAGGGCUCAACCCUGGACAGGCGGUGGAAACUACCAAGCUGGAGUACGGUAGGGGGCAGAGGGGAAUUUCCGGUGGAGCGGUGAAAUGCGUAGAGAUCGGGAAAGAACACCAACGGCGAAAGCACUCUGCUGGGCCGACACUGACAUGAGAGACGAAAGCUAGGGGAGCGAAUGGG